rnacentral:rRNA from 1 species
GGGUCAGUAGGUUGGUCGUGCCACCGGUACGUACUGGUCUCACUGAUUCCUCCUUCCUGAGGAACCGUAAUGCCAUUAAUUUGGUGUUGCGGGGAAACAGGACUGUUACUUUGAAAAAAUUAGAGUGUUUAAAGCAAGCUAACGCUUGAAUACAUUAGCAUGGAAUGAUGAAAUAGGACGAUCGAUCCUAUUUUGUUGGUUUCUAGGAUUGACGUA